rnacentral:lncRNA from 1 species
GUGAUUCAUUUCUGCUUUCAUCACAGCAAGUGGAAGAUAAUAGAAUCUGCAGCAGACAACUUCUUUGCUGGUACUUUGUUGGAAAGAUACUCCUAGGGAGACGAGCGAAGAACAAGGCAAUGGAACAAGAGAGAAGGGAGAGCUGACAUGGAUAAUCCACAGUGGCCGUCAGCAUGCGUGAAAACCAGAGGACCCAGUAACUACUUCAUCUAAGAAGCUGAGAAUCACAGAGCAAGAGAAGUCAGAGACACAGUUCUAGUAUGAGGCUGGAGGAUCGGAAGUUUCCUAAAGAACAGCUGGUGGAGUUUACAUCAGAAGGAUGAAGAACCUGCUAAUUUCUUUCUUUCCUUUCUUGUUCCAUCUAAGCUGCAAAGCUAUUGGAUGGUGUCACCCACAGGCAGGCCAAGUCUUCCCACCA